rnacentral:lncRNA from 1 species
UGUCGAUAUCAUACUUAAAAGAGUUUACAGUUACCUCUAGCUUCAGUUUAGGGUUCUUUAUUUUUUGGAAAAAUAUUUUCUUAUCUAUGAAUUUGUGAUGAGCUAUAUUCAAAUCUUGUGUAUUUUGAAGUGAUUGUCUCUUUCCUUUUUUCUGUUUGUAGAAUCUAUUUUUUGGUUAGUGGAAUCAACGGUCGUAGUAGGUUGCGUUUCAACUUGUCUGAAAUCUAAAAGAACCAGAAUCUUACAAAAAUAGAACACUGGUGACCUCAGGUAUGUCUAUCUCAUAUGAUAUAUUGCUGCAGUUUUGUAGUUAUUUCGUAAAUUAGUUCAGGUUUCUGUUAAAUGAGGAAAAAAUGGAAAACCAGAGGCUGAAGCAACAGCAGCAAUAGGUUUUCCUUUAACAGUAGUUGCUUUGUCAUGCUGGCCUUUUAGCGGCUCCUCCUUCGGUUUAAUUUUUUCACUUUUAUUUGAGAAUUCUACCAUUCUUUUUGUUAACUGUGUUUGCCGAGGUUUUUCACCUAUUGCGAAUUUUAUAAAAUAAAAUUGUUUGAAAUGAUCAAAUCUUGUAUUAUCAUGACUAUCAAUUAUUUUAUUUUGUUUUACACUGUUAGACAUUGCGAUUUUCUUAACUUUCUUAUUGCUAAAUGUCAUUGAGAUUGAUGAUUGUUCAUUUGUUGUCUAUGGGUUUCAAUUUACUCUCUUUAUUUUGCGUCAGCUUGCUUUCUAUAAGAAUCCUAUUGUUCUUUAAAAAUUUUGAUUUUGAUUGCUGAUAUUGUUUGUCUAACUGUGGGGCACAUGAAUUUGGGAACUAUUAUUUGAAUUUAUAAACAGAGCUGUAAUUUUUGAUAUUAUGUAGUUCAAUUCCUGUGGUUCUAUUUCAAUCUGGGUAGUUUUUGACACCACUGUCUUGGACAAUAGAGCGCCCCAUGAAUCUGUGACUUCCACUAGUCACACACAUUUCUUUCUAUUUUCUUUCUUGAUCUUCACUUUCAUUUGGAAUCUUGUAAUGAUAUGUAUUUGUCUUUCACCUAAUAAGCUUAAUAUGUUUUUGGGGGCUUGAAUAUCUUUUAAGACUGGAUAAAUUAAAAGAAUAGUUAGGAGAGAGGGAAAGGUAAGGAUGAAGUUAAAUAUUAUCUCUGAGCACAGUAGUUGUGAAGCAUUAUGUUAGAAACAUUUUGGUCACCUAUGUAAAAGUUUAAAACAAGAAAUGGGUGAGGGCUCAAAAGAAAAAGUAAGUCUGAAAAGAAGGAAUAUGUGCCUAGCGCUCAGUUGUUAAUUGCCGAUGUGGAUUUUUUUGUUUAAGAAGAUAUUGGAUAAGUUAUUAAAAUUGGUUUGAAUAUUGAACAAAUUUAGACCUAUAUGUUUGACCAUUGAUCAAGUAUAUAUUUUCAUAUUGUGAUUGAAUAUUUUACUUGGUGGAUUUUAGUCUUCUUUUUUGUCGUUACUUGUAAACAUCAAGGUUGAUGGUUGAUAUGGCCGAUAAAAGUUCUUUUCUCUGUUUUCAUUAUUUAUUUCUAUUAUGAAAUUUUCAUUCUUCAAAUUAAGCUAAUCAUAAGUAGAAAUCUGCGUCCUGGGUUUGAUCUAAGUACAUGUCAGAAUUUGUAAAAGUCGUUCAGACUUUUUAUUUCCUUAUUUUCUUUGCUGCAUGCUUGCUUCACUUGUGCAAUAUGCAACGAAUUAGUCUUAAAUUUUUCCUAUAUGUAAUGAUGUCACAUGGAUUGAUGUGUCAUUAUAUACUUGUCUUUUUUUACUCAUUUACCUCAUGUUGGGUCUUGGUACCCAAUAAAUCCUAGGUUAUGAUGUUAACCUGGGAAUACAUAUUUUAUAGGUCUAGGCCGAUGAAUGAAAUUAGUACCAAAGGCUCUACCCUACGCCAUUUAUAUCCCUUUUGGAUUGGUUUGAAUCUUGACUUGUUUAGCUUUGUUAUUGGUUCAACUAAAAGCCUAACCUAGCCUACUUAUAUGGUUUUAAUCCUAUCCAUUUUAGUGUGUGACUUGUGUGUGUAAAGAGGUGAAAAACGUUUGCCAUGGAAGGGUGAAAAAACUGGCUCCUUUGUGGUACCUAAAAUCAGUGAAUUUUAGUCUCAUUUUUGUGCCUUCUUCCAUUGUCUUUUCCCUUGCAUUUGUAGUUACAAAUCAAUUCCAUUGUCUUUUCCCUUGCAUCUGUAGUUACAAACCAACACCAUUAUCUUGUCAUUUGUAGGCGAGAUUGAGAAACAACCAAGGUGAAUAUAAAGGUUGUGGAAUCGAGCCGUUUGGAUUGGUUGUCUGAUAGAGAAAGGUAACGUUGAACUGAACCCGAAAAACACCGUUCUGAUGAUCUUUGGAGCAAGCUUCUACGACACCUCAUAGACCUGAACUUUUGUCUAACUAUUUAGCGUAAUAUGGAUUGAUUCAUCUAUUUUUCUUUGUUUUCUUUUUGUUUUUGAACUUCUAGUUUUUUUAUUUCUAAAAAUGCAGCUAUGUCAGGAAACAUUCACACUCAAGUGACUGAACCACUUCUUCAAGAAGUUUUCACAAGUACUUAUCGUGUCGAAGGCUGCAAGCUUAUUAGAAAAGAAAGGUUAUAGUCCUUGUGUUGUUUUCAUGAUUUAUUGUUGUAUUUUUUAGGAUUUCAAAUUCUUGAUCACUUCAUUUUGGUGUCUUUCUUUUUGGUUGUACAGUCGUUGGCCUCAGUGGAGGAAGAUUCCAUCGAUGGUAAAUAUUCGAGAUUGAAGGGUAGAUAUGUGAAGAAGUGGCUGGCUCGAAAUCCAGCUCAGGCGCCUUCCAUGUGGCUGGAGACGAUCUCUACGCUUUCAGAGAUUCCAAGGUUUUGUACUUGGAGACUAGAUAAAUGGUCGAUAGGUGACUUAGCUUUUGGAAUUUAAUUAUUUUAUUCGAAGGCAGGUAGGAUUUUUUAAGGAAAGAUUAAUUAAUUUCUUAAGAAUUUUCGUUCUGUUAUUACAAAUAAAAAGUGGAUUCAACCUUGAAGAAAAAUUUUGUUUAACCUUUUCUGGUGCAUUAAUUCUCGUUACUAAUAUUGCUUAUAUUUCCCUUCAAAAAUUUUAAAUCCAACCUGGGCAGAGCUUUUUAUUUUUUUGUUAUGUCUAGACCUUCACUUUGCCAGUAGACUUGAAUUAGAAUUCGUUCACAUUCGUGCUAUUGAGCUUUUGUUAAUAGAUGAAAGAAGCAUAUACUUAGUGUAAGAAUUUAAUUAUAUUUGCAUGCCCUUUUUAAUAACAUUCUAAUUGCUAUUCUCUUGACUAGGCAGAGGAUCAAAUUUAGUAUUUACAGAUAAUUCAGGAACUUGGUGAGACAUAUGUAGGUACAUGGUCUAAGACUACAGUAAGACGUAAGACGAAGAUUGUUAGCUCAAUUGGUUCGCCAACCUUUACUCGGGAAAUAAUAUGGAAGCUAACAGAGGUUGGGAUGAAUGUUGCAUGUCUGAAUAUGUGCCAUGGAGACCACGUAUCUCACCAGAAAGUCAUUGAUUUGAUUAAGGAAUAUAAUGCCCAAGUAAAGGACAAUGUUAUUGCCAUCAUGAUUGACACCAAGGCAAGUCAAUUGACUUUUGGCUCAUAGAUCACUGCUUGGCAUUUCAGGGCUUAAAGUAACAUAUUUCUCUUUCUAACAGCACGAGUCAAGUUCUUAUAUAUCAUUGCCAAAAAAAAUUCUUUUGAUUAAAGGAUUUAUAUUACUAGAAUGAUAUCAUAUUUAAUGAGUAUAUUGCAUCUGUAAAAUGAUAUUUCUGCCUCGAUGAUUUUGUCUACAUGCAAUAUUUUUAGAAGUGCUGGUUUUCGCUCCCCUUUCUUUCUUCCUUUGUAAUUUAGGAUUUAGUAACUAUAAUAUGAAUUGGUUUUACAUCUGCAAAAGGAUGGAAUGAUCUUGUAAAAAG